UAUAAUGGGGAUAUCAUGAGGCUCCCCCUCAACAUGAUCAUCAAUCUGUAGGACAAAUAACUCCCCCUCAACUGGAGCAUUUUCUAUCAUGAGAACUUCAGGUGUCUCCCCCUUAGCUUGAGUUGUGUCCUCUUGUCUUCCUCCUUGAGCACUCCUUCAUUGACAAGGAUAUACUUCUUAACCAAUUUUUGUCUUAGUUUUCUAGGCUGAGCCACAGCCUCAGGACUUCCUUGAGCUUCAGCUCUGUCCUGUUGAUCAGUCACAACAUCUGGUGCAACAGCUUCCUUGCUAGAGGUGUUCAAUCUGGUCUCUACGAUUGGUAGAGACUCUACGAUCGAAUAGACAGAUGGCCUCUUGGACUUGUGACUGAG
rnacentral:lncRNA from 1 species